rnacentral:rRNA from 1 species
UACGGAGGGGCUAGCGUUGUUCGGAAUUACUGGCGUAAAGCGCACGUAGGCGGCUUUGUAAGUUAGAGGUGAAAGCCCAGGGCUUAACCCGUGGAACUUGCCUUUAAGACUGCAUCGCUAGAAUCGUGGAGAGGUAAGUGGAAUUCCGAGUGUAGAGGUGAAAUUCGUAGAUAUUCGGAAGAACACCAGUGGCGAAGGCGACUUACUGGACACGUAUUGACGCU